AUGAUUAUUGUUGAGGACAAUGGUGGGCCUUGGAGUCAAAAAGGUUGAAAACUAUGGGUCAGUGAUUCUGCAGUCAAA